AGGAAUUUUUUUUUUAUUGGCGUGCCUAACAUGUCUGUUUACCUUGGUUGUGCAUGGCCAGCAAGCGAGAGAGGCAAGGGACACACACUCGAAGCAAUAGUCUGCACUUCUUCCUGUCAAUUCUGUCACCACCUGCAAUAUCCACCAACCAGCUUGGGUUCCAUCAUAUUUGUAGCAUUAAUUCAGAGUUUUUUCAGUGAUGCAUUUUUAGCUUUUAGGCUCCACUGUUUGGAAGCUUUGAGAUGGUCGAAUUUAUUUUUCAAAAAAAAUUCCCCGAAAAAUGAUCCUGCAACUACGUGCUAAGUUGCAGGUUGAAAAUCAUGUUAAUAAGGUUAUGGUAAAACUAAAAAAGAGAAUUAAGCAAGUCGAUCCGUCGCUGGC